AUAAAUUUAAUUAUUAUUAUUGAUUUUUUAAAGUAUUAUUUUAUUUAUUAAUAUAAGCAAUGAAAAAUUAAUUUUUUAUUAUAGUUUACUAGUAAAGUGAUUGAAUUUAUUUAUAUAUUAAUAAGAAAAAUUUAUUUUUUGUACCUUGUGUAUCAGGGUUGAUUAAUUUUAUAAUUAUUAUUAAUUUUUCUCGAAUUAAGAAGAGCUAAUUAUGUAUAUGUUUAAUUUUUUCAUAAAUUUUCAUAAUAUAUAAUUUGAAAUGAAAUGUUAUUCGUUUCUUAAUAUAUCUAGUUUUUUAAGAAAAGAAUUUAAUUCUCUUAUUAUUUAUUAUUAGUUAAUUUUUAGUUAAUAAUUUUUAGUAUGAAAUAAAUAAAGGGAUAAGCUUUUAUUUUAAUAAUUAAAAAUUUAUUUGAUUUUAUUUUUUGUAUAAUUUAAAUUGUUAAUCAUUUUUAUAAUAUAAUAGUUAAUUUUAUUUAAUUAAUGAUUUAUAUUUAUUUUAAUUUUUUUAUUAAAAAUUUAUGUUUAAUUUUUUAGCUUUUUUAUAAUGAUUAAAUUAGUAGAUAAAUAUGUAUUUUAUUAUUUAUUUUUAAGAUAAUAAAAAGGAACUCGGCAAAUAAAUUUUUCGCCUGUUUAUUAAAAACAUGUCUUUUUGAUUAUAAUUUAAGGUUUAAUCUGCUCAAUGAUUUAUUAAAUUGCCGCAGUAUUUUGACUGUGCAAAGGUAGCAUAAUAAUUAGCUUUUUUAUUGAGAGCUGGAAUGAAUGAUUGGACGAAAAAAUUUCUGUCUCUUUAUUAUUUAUUAUUUAAUUUUACUUUUAAGUUAAAAGGCUUAAAUUUUUUUAAAAGACGAGAAGACCCUAUAGAGUUUUAUUUUUAUUUUUUGAUUAAUUUUUAGAAUUUAAAAUAUUUUAUAAAAUAAAAAAUUUAGUUGGGGUGACUGAAAGAUUAAUUAAACUCUUUUAAUUGAAAUCAUUUAUUUAUGAAUAGAGAAAUUAUUUUUAUAAAUUUAAAAUAAAUUACCUUAGGGAUAACAGCGUUAUUUUUCUUUAGAGUUCUUAUUGAAAGGAAAGAUUGCGACCUCGAUGUUGGAUUAAAAUUUAUUUUUGGUGUAGAAGCUUAAAUAUUAAGUCUGUUCGACUUUUAAAAUUUUACAUGAUCUGAGUUUAAACCGGUGUAAGCCAGGUUGGUUUCUAUCUUUAAAUUUUUAAUAUAUUUUAGUACGAAAGGACCAAAUAUAUAAUAUAUUAUUUUAUUUUGAAUAAUAUU
rnacentral:rRNA from 1 species